GAUGAACGCUGGCGGCGUGCCUAAUACAUGCAAGUCGAGCGAACAGACGAGGAGCUUGCUCCUCUGACGUUAGCGGCGGACGGGUGAGUAACACGUGGAUAACCUACCUAUAAGACUGGGAUAACUUCGGGAAACCGGAGCUAAUACCGGAUAAUAUAUUGAACCGCAUGGUUCAAUAGUGAAGGACGGUUUUGCUGUCACUUAUAGAUGGAUCCGCGCCGCAUUAGCUAGUUGGUAAGGUAACGGCUUACCAAGGCAACGAUGCGUAGCCGACCUGAGAGGGGGAUCGGCCACACGGGAACGGAGCCACGGUCCAGACUCCUACGGGAGGCAGCAGUAGGGAAUCUGCCGCAAUAGGCGAAAGCUUGACGGAGCAACGCCGCGUGAGUGAUGAAGGUCUUCGGAUCGUAAAGCUCUGUUAUUAGGGAAGAACAAAUGUGUAAGUAACUAUGCACGUCUUGACGGUACCUAAUCAGAAAGCCACGGCUAACUACGUG
rnacentral:rRNA from 1 species